AUGUACCACCUCCUGGCGCUCGACCCAUCGCUCUCCACCAAGUUUUUCAUCAUGCAGUUCUUGCUGGGCCUCAAGGACGAACUGCGCGCGGCCGUGCGUCUCCAAGCCCCCACCAGCAUCACGCGCGCGUCGAUCCUUGCCCACAUCCAAGAGGAGGAGCUGAACACGCCACGAGCGCGGCCGCGACCACAACCCCAAGGCCGCCCACCUCCAGCGCCACCAGCGCGCCCGGGCGCCGCGCCACGCCAACAGCCCGACGACUAUGCGCGCGAGCGUCAACUCAAGGAAUUUCGCCGCGCCAACGGGCUCUGCUUCAAGUGCGGCGAUCGAUACAGCCGUGAGCACCGCUGCAAUCCGCAGGCGCAGCUGCUCACGAUUCAGGUCGGCGCGUAUGGCGAGGUGCUCACUGAUGACGCCGUGCACGCUCUCGACUUGCUCGACACUCCAGAGCCUGUCGUCCCUCCUCCGGAGUGCUGCACCAUCUCUGCGCACGCGCUGGACGGCUCAGAGGCGCCCAGCACCAUUCGUCUCCGCGCACUGGUGGGCAACCAGGUGAUGCUGCUACUGCUAGACUCCGGAAGCACGCACAGCUUCGUCAACAAAUCCUUCGUCGAGCGUGUCGGCGCAGAGACACAAGAAAUCGCUACCCUGGACGUGCGUGUGGCGAACGGCGAUCACCUCACCUGCUCUCGCCAAGUCCCUGAGCUCAAGUGGUGGAUGCAGGGCCACACCUUCUCGACGCAGAUGUACGAGCUCGACACCGGCGCCUACGACGGCAUCCUUGGCAUGGAUUGGUUGGAGAAAAACAGUCCGAUGACAUGUCACUGGCAAGAGAAGUUCAUCUCAUUCCUCCACGACGGCGAGUUGGUCACCCUGCAAGGUGUUCGACCCAAGACGACACCAACGCUCGCGGCCGUUCAGCCGGCCGAGCUCUGCAAACUAAUCGCUGGCAAUGAUAUCUGGGCUAUGGCCAUGGUGGAAAUGCAACCUCCCAGACCAAAGUCGCGCAUACCAUCGCAGACGCCGAUCAGCGAUUUAUUGGAGGAGUUUGCUGAUGUCUUCGCCACACCAACCGGUCUGCCUCCUCAUAGGCAGUACGAUCACGCAGUCACUUUGGAAGAAGGAGCUCAACCUACAAACACACGACCGUACCGUUACUCGCCACUCCAGAAAGACGAAAUCGAGCGUCAAGUGAAAGAAAUGCUCGAUGCCGGCGUGAUCACACACUCGGUCAGCCCAUAUGCUGCUCCGGUGCUGCUGGUGAAGAAAAAGGACGGGACAUGGCGGUUCUGUGUCGAUUACAGACGCUUCAACGACAUCAUAGUGAAGAACAAGUUUCCGUUGCCGAUCGUGGACGAGCUCCUCGAUGAACUAGCCGGCGCUGCUUUCUUCUCCAAGCUCGAUCUGCGGGCAGGCUAUCACCAAAUCCGCAUGCGUGAAGAGGACAAACACAAGACUGCAUUCAAAACCCACCAUGGGCAUUUUCAGUUCCGCGUGAUGCCGUUCGGCCUGACAAAUGCGCCUGCAACCUUUCAAUGCUUGAUGAACGCGAUCUUCGCCAAGUAUACAUGUAAGUUUGUCAUCAUUUUUCUUGACGACAUUCUGGUUUUCAGUGAGACCUGGGAAGAGCACUUGGAGCAUCUUCGCCUCGUCCUGAGCCUGCUCCGCGAGCACCAGUUAUACGCCAAGAUGUCGAAGUGUUCAUUCGCGCAAAAUCACAUCGAUUACCUCGGCCACGUCAUCUCCAAGCAGGGCGUGGCGACUGACUCUGAGAAGACAGAAGCCAUGGCUCAGUGGCCUACUCCGACCAAUGCCACCGAGCUGCGCGCGUUCCUGGGGCUCACCGGCUACUACCGUAAGUUUGUGCCGCACUAUGGGAUCAUCGCCAAGCCCCUCACACUGCAGCUCACCAAGAAAGGAUUCGAGUGGCCCGAAUCCGCGCAGCACGCCUUCGACACGCUCAAGCAGGCGAUGGUGACCACGCCGGUGCUCGCCCUCCCAGACUUCAACAAGCCGUUCUCGAUCGAGACGGACGCCUGCGACACUGGCAUUGGCGCCGUGCUGGUGCAAGAAGGCCACCCGGUCGCCUACUACAGCAAAGCGCUGGGAGUGAAGAACCAGAAACUCUCAACGUACGAGAAGGAGUUUCUGGCGGUGAUGAUGGCGGUGGACAAAUGGCGCUCCUACCUGCAGCGCGGGCCGUUCACCAUCCUCACCGGCCACAAGAGCUUGUGCACGCUGGGCGAUCAACAACUGGUGACUGACGUCCAACGCCGCGCAAUGUCGAAGCUUGUCGGGCUGCAGUUCAAGUUUCAGUACAAGUGCGGCAUCGACAAUGGAGCUGCGGACGCGCUCUCCCGCGUGGGCAGCCACUUCAGCGCCAACGCUCUGUCCCUGUGUCAGCCCGCGUGGAUCCAAGAGGUGGCCAAUUCCUACGCCACUGAUCCGGACGCGCAAGAACGGCUGCAACAGCUUGCACUGCACAGCCCAGAUGAUGACGAGUACGAGCUGUACCGGGGCCUCAUUCGGCGUCAGGGCCGGCUGUGGAUUGGCGCAAACACCGCUCUGCGCACUAAGCUCAUCAGCGCGAUGCACGACAGCGCCGUGGGCGGCCACUCCGGAGCAACGGCCACCUACCACCGAGUCAAGAAAGUUUUCGAGUGGAAGGGACUGAAACCAGAUGUCGACGAAUUCGUGCGCCAGUGCCAGGUUUGCCAGCAAGCCAAGCCUGAACUUCGCAAGCCCGCGGGCAAACUGGCACCUCUGCCGAUCCCCUCCGCACCCUGGCAAGAGCUGACCAUGGACUUCGUCGAAGGACUGCCCAAGUCCGAAGGUUACGAUACAAUCAUGGUGGUUGUUGACCGCUUCACCAAGUUCGCUCACUUCGUGCCCUUGCGGCACCCGUUCACGGCGACACAGGUGGCGCGCGUGUUCUGGGACAACGUCGUCAAGCUCCACGGCAUCCCCAAAUCCAUCGUCAGCGACCGCGACAAGAUCUUCACCAGUGCGCUGUGGCGCGAACUGCUCGCCGGCGCAGGCACCAAGCUCCUCUACUCCACAGCGUACCACCCCCAGACGGAUGGCCAACAUGAGCGUGUCAAUCAGUGCAUGGAGAUGUACUUGCGCUGUGCCGUUCACGACACUCAGCGACCGCGACAAGAUCUUCACCAGUGCGCUGUGGCGCGAACUGCUCGCCGGCGCAGGCACCAAGCUCCUCUACUCCACAGCGUACCACCCCCAGACGGAUGGCCAAAGUGA
rnacentral:rRNA from 1 species